UUAUUUUGUGGUGAAUUGCUUAAGGGCAAUGAAUUCUUCUGUAAGAUAAACAAUUUUAACUUUGUGUUAGUUUCGAAAAGUUGUAUGUCUAUGAGAUCGUAAGUUUACGGAGAUAGAAUUGUGUGUAUGUAUAUGAGGAUUGAGAAAGAUAUGAAGAGAAGAGGGAUGGAAGAGAGAGAGCUUUAUAAAGUAUUUAAGUUAUUUUUAAGAAUAUUUUACUUUUUAGAAAUAUUUUUAUUUUUUAUCAUGUUGUAAUCGAA
rnacentral:lncRNA from 1 species